ACCUUCAUCGAUUGCUAAAAAAAGAAGCCCCUCCCGUAUCCCUAACCUUGUGACGCCUACCAUCGCGCCGCCACUUCCCAUGGAUCACGUUGCUGCUUCCGAUGGAUUGUGCCGCCUCUCUGCUCACCACCGUAGUCGUCACAGCCUAUCCCAGCAGUCGUUGCUGCCCACCGCAUCCAGCCGCUGUCGCAUCUCACCGCCUCCACCGCCCCCAUGAAUCACCACCUCCUCUCUCUUGGACCAGCAUGCUGCGGUGGAUGCUUCCGGUCCCGUUGUGGCGACACGGCUGGUCAAGGGAACGCGGUGAGGCGGAUUGUGUCUCGUUCGUUGAUCUGCCCCACUUGCUGCUGCUCCUCUCCCAUCGACCGUCACGUCAACAUUUACCGCGACACACGACGUUCUCCUCUUCUGCGACGAUGCUUAUAAGCGACAAUAAUGGUGUCUUGUUGUGCCCUACACUCAUCGGAGCGCUGAAGCACGGAAGUUCCCAGAGAAGAUCGCUCUCCGCUUAGCAAAUUCCACCGUGUUCUGAAUGGCUGCCAGACAAGACGCUCUGCCGGAUGUUCAUCAUCAGCGCCAGUCAUGGGUUCGGGCUACUGUGGAACUCAUGGCAUCAACCAUAUGAACGUGCAUGUAUUUGAUAGUUUGCUCGAUCAAUUUUAUGCCUUCCACUACAGCUAAGGCUACUACGCAACCUCAUUGAGAUUUUUUCUAUAGGACUUGGAUUAAUAAUCCCCAACAAUACGGUCACGCUUCUUAUAAAUUUCAGGUUGAUGAUUUUGACUGUCGUAGACGCUGUGCCGGAUGUUCAUCAUCGGUGGCAGUCAUGGGUUCAGGCUCCUGUGGAACUCAUGGCAUCGACCAUAUGAACCUUCAUGUAUUUGAUAGUUUGCUCGAUCAGUUUUAUGCCUUCCACUACAGCUAAGGCUACUACGCAGCUUCAUUGAGAUUUUUUCUAUAGGAUUUGGAUUAAUAAUCUCCAAUAAUACGGUCAUGGUUCUUAUAAUUACUUUCAUGUAUAAAUACAUUUGUGAUUUUCUGUAUGUUGUACUACUAAACUGUGUGCUAUACCAAGCCUAAGCAAUGUUAAGUAGACCUUUGAAUUCUUAAUAAGGAAAUUACACAAUCUGUUCUGUGUGCUGUAGGAUUAGUGUUGUUUGAAGAUGUUUUUCUUCUUACCAAUCAGGUUGAUGAUUUUUACUGUCGAUGCAGACGCUGUGCCGGAUGUUCAUCAUCGGUGGCAGUCAUGGGUUCAGGCUCCUGUGGAACUCAUGGCAUCGACCAUAUGAACCUUCAUGUAUUUGAUAGUUUGCUCGAUCAGUUUUAUGCCUUCCACUACAGCUAAGGCUACUAUGCAGCUUCAUUGAGAUUUUUUCUAUAGGAUUUGGAUUAAUAAUCUCCAAUAAUAUGGUCAUGCUUCUUAUAAUUACUUUCAGGUAUAAAUACAUUUGUGAUUUUCUGUAUGUUGUACUACUAAACUGUGUGCUUGCACUCUAUAUUCAACAAACCAUAAUUAUCAUACUCCAGAGAAAUAAGAAUGUUAUAUUCA